GAAUUGCAAAUUCGAAAACGUACCCAAAAGG
rnacentral:tRNA from 1 species